UACGAGUGGUCCGAGCGUUAUCCGGAUUUAUUGGGCGUAAAGCGUCCGCAGGUGUCCCGCCGCAUCUCUGGUUAAAUUUCAGGGCUCAACCCUGAGUCAGCCGGAGAGAUGGGCGGGAUUGAGGCUGGGAGAGGGAAACGGAACGGCUGGUGUAGGGGUGAAAUCCGUUCAUAUCAGCUGGAACACCAAAGGCGAAGGCAGUUUCCUAGAACAGACCUGACACUCAUGGACGAAAGCGUGGGGAGCAAAAA
rnacentral:rRNA from 1 species